rnacentral:sRNA from 1 species
GCCAAGCAUGGUGGUGCAUGCCUGUAAUCCCAGUUACUCGGGAGGCUGAGGCAGGAGUAUUGCAAGUUCAAAGCCAGCCUCAGCAACUUACCAAGGCUGUGAGCAACUUAGAUUCUGUCUCAA